AGCGGUGUGGCUCAGUGACAGAGCCUCUGCUUUGCAUGCAGGAGGUCGUAGGUUCAAUCCUUAGCAUAGGGUUG